rnacentral:tRNA from 1 species
GCAACAGCCCCACCAUCAGCACCCAAAGCUGACAUUCUAAUUAAACUAUUCCCUG